UUUUUUCCCUUUUUUUUUUUUCUUUCUUUCUAAAUUUGCAUUGUUUGAGGAUCUGUGCGUUAUGUUAAUUCAUUUUUGAUGUGCACAUCUUAGAUCACACUACAAGGAAAGUUUACAUAAAUAUUAACUCAUUGAUCAUGGUCUCUUUCUUUCUCUCCUUUUGUUCUUAUCUUUCUUCAAGGAAUAUAUAUAUAUAUUACCUCUAAAAUGGAAUAUGAUGUUUAAGAGAGUGAAUCCAUGUAGCCG
rnacentral:misc_RNA from 1 species